rnacentral:rRNA from 1 species
UGGGGAAUAUUGCGCAAUGGGGGAAACCCUGACGCAGCGACGCCGCGUGAGCGAUGAAGGCCUUAGGGUUGUAAAGCUCUGUUUUAAGGGACGAAUGUUACGGGGAGUAAUAUGCCCUGUAAAUGACGGUACCUUAAGAGGAAGCCCCGGCUAACUACGUGCCAGCAGCCGCGGUAAGACGUAGGGGGCGAGCGUUGUCCGGAAUUACUGGGCGUAAAGAGCACGUAGGCGGGACUUUAAGUCAGGUGUGAAAGACCGGGGCUCAACCUCGGGGUGGCACUUGAAACGAGGGUUCUUGAGGGCAGGAGAGGAAAGUAGAACUCCUGGUGUAGCGGUGAAAUGCGUAGAAAUCAGGAGGAAUACCAGUGGCGAAGGCGACUUUCUGACUGACCCUGACGCUGAGGUGCGAAAGCGUGGGUAGCAAACAG